CAGCCGCCGCGGUAACACGUAGGUGGCAAGCGUUGUCCGGAAUUAUUGGGCGUAAAGCGCGCGCAGGUGGUUUAAUAAGUCUGAUGUGAAAGCCCACGGCUCAACCGUGGAGGGUCAUUGGAAACUGUUAAACUUGAGUGCAGGAGAGAAAAGUGGAAUUCCUAGUGUAGCGGUGAAAUGCGUAGAGAUUAGGAGGAACACCAGUGGCGAAGGCGGCUUUUUGGCCUGUAACUGACACUGAGGCGCGAAAGCGUGGGGAGCAAACAGGAUUAGAUACCCCGGUAGUCCCUGUCUCUUAUAC
rnacentral:rRNA from 1 species